rnacentral:rRNA from 1 species
UUCCACAUGAUCGCAUGUGAUUGUGGGAAAGAUUCUAUCGGCGUGGGAUGGGGUCGCGUCCUAUCAGCUUGUUGGUGAGGUAACGGCUCACCAAGGCUUCGACGGGUAGCCGGCCUGAGAGGGCGACCGGCCACAUUGGGACUGAGAUACGGCCCAGACUCCUACGGGAGGCAGCAGUGGGGAAUAUUGCACAAUGGGCGCAAGCCUGAUGCAGCGACGCCGCGUGAGGGAUGGAGGCCUUCGGGUUGUAAACCUCUUUUGUUUGGGAGCAAGCCUUCGGGUGAGUGUACCUUUCGAAUAAGCGCCGGCUAACUACGUGCCAGCAGCCGCGGUAAUACGUAGGGCGCAAGCGUUAUCCGGAUUUAUUGGGCGUAAAGGGCUCGUAGGCGGCUCGUCGCGUCCGGUGUGAAAGUCCAUCGCUUAACGG